CUCUGCUAGAGAUAACAAUUUCUGUGCGUGGCUGUAAUGAGGGAAAGAGCAAAAACCCAGCAGGCAGGGCUAGAGUUCUAGCAGAGAUGGAGUUUGCAAAAUGGAAUUACCACUUUUUAUGGCAAUAUCAGGAUGUCUUUCAUUCUUGCCUCAGCUGUUUUCUCCUCGUCUCGCUGCACUGACCAUUCAGCUUGACAUCAGGCCAGCUGCUCCAGCCGCUUCUGAACUGGUGAAUACAUGCUUGGGCUUUUGCCUGUAUCCUUAUGUCAUCUUUCACUGAUACAGGAAUUUUGCUUCUGCACAACAUAGCUCCAGUUUCCCAGUCUGAAAAAUAGACUUUCUGGAUGCUUCCAGGUAACUUUUUCCCUGUUCUGUCAUCCCAUGUGGUAACUAAAAUGCCCUUUCCUUUGUGAGUGGGGCAGAAACUGUUCUUAGUCUGCUGCAUAAGACGAUGUCAGGAAAGGAAGUGUGGGAUAAUUAUAGAAGCUACAAGGAUGUAUUGUUUUUGUUGUUUUUUUUUUUUUUUGUCUGGAUUUUUUUUCUUAAGAUGGGCUGAAGUUAGCAGCAGAAUUGACACUGGACGUGAAUGUGCAUGUUGAUGUUUAUCACUCAGAAGGGCUUAAAGAGCUUUUAAGCUGAAAGAACUUAAACGUGUUUUUCUGAGAUCAUGUGUAGUGAGCAGCAUUCACUUUCUGCGCAUGGGUGUCACAUGCUGUCCUCUCUCAGGGACCUUGUGCUGUCUUUCAUUCUGAAUAGGGCAUUUCUAUUUCCCGGGCCCUAAUCUCAUGACAUCCAGAUGAAAACCAACAGUCUACAGAAUGCCUUUCUGUAUAGGCAACCAGCUAAUGGCACACAGAUUGUCUGGUGUGCCAGAGGAAACUCACUUCACUGGUCUUCUAGCACAUUGGGAAGCUCACCAGCACUAGUGCUUCAGUGGUGGUCGUCCCUCCUGACAUCCAGCAACUUUGUCUUCACAAAAUCAGACUGGACGGAGCCGUAGGCUGUCUGUUGUGCCUCGGUAGGAAAACAAGCAGGUGGUGAGGUUUUCAUUUAGCCCCCCAACCACUGAGGUCCUUGUGCUGAAGCAAGAGAGACAAUCUGCAGCUUCCACGUGCAUAAUCAAUCAAUAUCUUCUCCACAAAUGAGGCUCCUUGUGCCAUGUGAAUGUAGGGGUGGCUGGAAAGAGAGGGGAACAACAGGCUCCCAGUGCUCCGGUUGGAGACCUGUAACGUGCCCUGUGUGUGGGAGGAAACAUGGUCCCCUGGAGGGGCAGAAUGGGGCAAUAAAGAAUAGGGUUACAGCUGUGGCUUUGCUAAUCAGGGUUUCCUUAAAGAAACCAAGGAGUUGGAUUUCCUUACUAAUUUCAGCUUGGUAACUAAUUUCUAGAAAACAACAUAGCUGAGUGUCAUAGGCUGACAAAAGAAGGAAGUGAGAUGUUUCCCACAGCUGACUUAGAAGGGGGUGUUAAGCAGGUCACUUCUUGGUAGGUGAGGCAUUUCUCAGACAGGUUGCCUGUUCUGGCAGUGAUAGGUUAACAAACCGCUAGCAAAGUAGUUAGUGUAGUAUUUCAGUAGCUAAACACGCCAUGAGAGAGUGAAGGAUUACUGUUUGAUUUCACCCACUCCUAAAGCGUUUCUAAUUUCACUUCCUUUCCUUCUGAUUGUGUGCUUCCCUUUGGUCGGGCUUCCUUGCUCCCAGUCCUGGUCCCAUCUGUUCCUUACUCAUCUCUCUUUUGUUCUUUGUAAGUGAUUUUUCCCAAUGAAUGCUAUCUUCUGUUUAUCUAGACGUGCUCUCCAUUCAACUCGUCCCAUUCUCUCUCUGAUAGCCGACUAUUUGCAGUAGUCCUGUGUGAAGCUGUUGCCCUCUCCUGGGGUCUCAGUAGCCAUGUGGUGAAAACUCUGCCAAUUCUUGUCCUUCUUUCCAAACAAGAAGUCAGCCUUCCUAGGAGAGGAAAACAGCCUGGAUGCCGUCACACAGACUGGGGAAAAUGGAGGUGACCGUCUGUCAGCCAGCAGCCAGAGCUCCACAGAGACCAGAUCCUUCUUGGCACGCUGGGUAUGCAUUGUCCAGCACUUAGGUCACCCAUUCACAUAUCCUCUCCCCCUUAGUUGCCUGAAUUUGGGCUUUUGGACACACAGAAAGAGAAAAUGUGCAACUCUGGGCCCUACAGAGCAGCGUGCUCUGCGUUUCACAGUGGAGAAAAAGGGAAGCAUGCACUCUUUGCUCUUGUGCUAGUGUUAAGCUUGAUUUAUAUUAAGCAGCUGGGGAUUUCUGCUGAUUGUUUACAUAGAGGUGGCAGACACUGGCACAGUUCUGCCUUCCUUGUUGGCAGAACAACCUGGGAUAAGAAGAUGAAAGGGAGGUGUGAGGAGAGAUACGUGAAGCAUUUUCUGGCAGAACUGAAUUCAAAGCUAAAUGAAGGAUGUCCACAAAUUAACGUUAAUUGAGGAUCUUCAGUUCUGGAUCUAGACUCAAUGCAUCGAACUCAGACCCAACAUAUAGAUCAGGAAAAAAGUUCCCAGGGCCUUCUCUGCUAGUGAAAGAUGCUGCAGUGCUAAUUCUGAUACCAGGUGUCCUCUUGCCAACAGACCAAUGCUACAAAACUCUUCAGAAGAGGAAAAAAUGAAGCCACCUGAAAUGGUUAAAAUCUUUCCCUGUGAAUUUAUCAGCUUGUACAGCUCAGUGGAAAUCUGCACUUCAGCAAGCGCUGCACCACUGGGAGAUUUUUGCAAAGAAAUGUGAUGUCCUCAGGAUUUCAGGGGCUUAGAGCUCUGAAGCCCCUCCAAGAAAGAAGAUACACUACCCUGGAAGAUGAGAACCUUGCGUGGGCACUGAAAGCUGUUUCUACUCAACCUUUGUUUCAUCGAGGAAAGUAGGUGUCUAAAAUCAAAGCACAUGUUGCUUCCCAUUGCGUGCUUACAUGUGAGACUACUUAAAGUCUGUUGCCAGACAGGCAGAGAAGAAGAAGCCGGUAGAUCACUGGGUUUUUCAGCCCCUGAGCGAGAUAACCAACCACUGUGUGCAACUGUGAGGUCCCCGGCUGGGGAGCUGAUAGUGAUACUGUAACCACAAAUUACGUAAGGUGAGCUUUUGCCUCUUACUCUCCUACUGUGUCAGAGGCUGCCACUGUAGUUAGCUUUUAAAUGCAAAUUUCUUGAGAAAAUAGGGGUCUACUGAAGUUACUGCUUCCAGAAAACCACAGUUGUCAAUGACUAGGGCAUGGACAAAGGGAGUAGUUAUUUAUUUUUUAUUUUAUUAAAUCUAAAUGAGACGGCAUUUCCAAAAAAAUCUGGGUCUCUCUGCAGAAUUUGUGAAAAUACAGCAAAGUGAGCAAAGUGAGGCUAAAUCCCUAAUAUGAUCUUUAGGUAGUAUAUUUCUGAGUAUUAACAGCUUGAAAAAGGGGAAAAAAUAGCAGAAGCCACCUCUGCUUCACCAUCCUUCCCAUAAUCCAGAAAUAGUAGAAAGUAGGUGAAUUUCUCAGUACACACAAAGUCAACAAACACAUCUCUCUUACCAAGGUAGAAAUUGUUUUAGAAUAGGUUACUUGAGAAAAAGCAAACGUAAUAGAUUAAACCUCUGAGACUGCACCCAGAAAUCUGAGUAGUGACUUUAUGAAUUAUCUUGGGCCCUGUUUGAAGAAUAGCUGUCUGUAAAACUUAUACAUCUACUCACCAUCUAGUGCCAGGUGAAGUAACUCCAUAGAUUCUGGUCAUGCUGAGUCCCUUUGUGUUAGGUAGAGAUCUGGUUCUUUGUGAACAGAAAGUGAACAGUGCUGAGACCUGAUGAAAUGUGGUCACGGUUGCAGGUCUCAGUCACCAGAUACAUGUUGGUGCAUCUGGCUAUGUGUAGAAAUGCUAUGUACGCAGUAGGUGUGUCUUCCUACUGAUACUGCCCCAGCGGGGGGGGGGGGGGGGGUAAGUAGUCUACAGAAAAUAUCAUUAGCCACAAUUUCAGAUGGAAAGACAUAGAUAGAUGGCUGUUUAAGAGGGCUUUAUUAGGCAAGGCAGCUUGAUUUUUAGGAAGUGUUGGGUGUCAGUGCACUCAACCGCAAUUUCUUGCUGGGAUAUGUGGGAGAGUUUAUUUGUUAGUUACUGUCAGUUUCAAACCACAGUAUCAUAAAGUUCCUUUUUGUAAUGUAUUUGUUGAAUGUGCCUGCCUCUGACUACUCUUCCCCCUUCCAAAGGUGCAGAGUGAAAGCUGAGCAUGUGAUUCACUAUCAGAGGGAAGGUUUUUGUCUCAGCGGUUGUGGUGGCUGAGCUGCAGCAAAUGGCACAGCACUCGUGUUGAGUGGAGUCCCAGAAACACUGCACGCAGAGACAUGUAGUAAAUAAUGCAUAUGAACUAGCUCAUCUAGAAAAUCUCAUCUUAAAAGAGAGUUUGUUUACCUGUGAAUAAAGGUCACUUGCAUGAAAACCUAGCUGCCAAGCUCUAGCUUAAGGCAGCGAAGUGUUACUCUUGAGUUGAUGCAAAAUGAUUACUCUCAGGUUCUCAGCUGGCUGACAUCUCAUGCCAAGUAUAUUCUAUACUCCAAACUUCAGUUGACCAAGCGUCUUCUCUCAACACAGACUAAAAUCAAUGACACAAAACAUGUAUAACUAUACAAGUUCGUUAUAACAUGAAGUCCUCUGUCUCACAGGGCCAAGAUUCAUAAUAGUUAAAAGGUCAGUCUCUUAAUGAUGUUUCCAAUAUUGAUUUUCCAUUUCUUUGUCUGUGUUACAGUAACUAUGGCAGCAGUAUUCUAUUUGUGGAUCCCUAGAGAUGUGUGUGUACAUUGGGAAGGGAGAAAGCGGAAUAGCACUUUGAAGCUGGUGUUCAGGCUAGGUAGUAAACUACAGUGGUUAGGAGUGUAAAGGACACAGUAAGAUCACUUGUGUGAAACUGAAAGGGUACGAGUGCAGUUGAUUCACACAGAUGACAUACCACUGGCCUGUGUGGAUGGAAACCAUCCAGCCUCUGGGCUUACUUGGUUCCUAGGCAUUUCAUUUUCAUUAGGUGAGCAGGAACUGCACGUAAGCAGGCCUGCCUCUGGUGUAGUUUUUUUUGUUGUUUUUGUUUUGUGUUUUUUUUUUUUUAAUACUAGUCACCACUUAAAACUCACUCAAAAAUGAGAGUUCUUCACCACAAAUCUUUGCCUGUACUGAGGGACAUGCAGUUGCUUACAUCUCAAGCUCUGCAGAAAACUCUGCUGUCCGCUAGGUGCUGGUGGUCCUCCUUAGCGAUCCUGUUCUGCGCACCCCUUCAGAUACGCUUUUCCUGCUCUGUUUUCCCCUGAGAUCUGCUCCUGUCUCUCAUCCCUGGCCACUGUCUGUGGUUCCUAUUUGCCUGGGCUGGUGUUUGUUGAUCUGAAACAGGGUAGGGAAACAGAUCUGUGGAGGCCACAGGAUGGGGAACCCACUGUAGGGAGCAGGCUGGGGAACAGGCCAGGCGUGGAAAUGGAUGCUUGCCUCUCCCGUCAGCCUGCUUGUGCACCCGGCCUGGUGGUGUGGCCUGGUGCCAGGACUCAGCCCUGCGCUUGUGUGCCCUGUUUCCCCUGAAGAUAUGGUUUACAGGGAGACCUAGGGAACGUAGAGGUGGAUUUUGGGAAGAUCCCAGAUGCAAGAUUAUGCCUUUUACACAGAGAUGCAAACUUCAUUUUUCAAGUAGUUUUAGCUGUAGCACUUCCUUCUGCACACUCCUCACUGCUUGUGCACCUUAUUAUACAAAAUGGGGGGCAGAAUAUUGUGGAGGUGUGGGGGAGAAAUAUUGCAAAACAGGUAAUUGGAGAAGCAAGGCUUGGCAAGCUGUCGCUUGAUCUAGCAGUAUGGCAAAGCUUGUUGUUUGCCAGAAGCAGUCCCAUCUGAUAGAUCUUUGGAGCCCAAGAGUAGGCAAAUGAAUAAACCUCACACUGUUUUAUACAUAUAUAUAUAUAUAUAUUUUUUUUUUUUUUCUUCGAAGCAAGAUUCUUUGAGGGAAUAACUGGAGAAAGUGAAACUAGAAGGGUUGGUGUGUUUUACAGUCUAAGAACCCCUUUGUUCCAUCUAAGCUUGUAAGAGACUUACGUGCUGUGUGGCCUUGCUCGGGAGGGAGUAACCAGGCAGUGCAGCUGCAUGUUCCUCCCCUGCAGGAAAAGGUCACUGGAUCAUGAUGAAGAGCAGUAACAUGCACUUACAGUCCUUCAGCUCCACAGACAUCGCUAUCUUCCUUCCAUGCCUGUGUGUGGGUGUAACAGAGCAGCGCAGCUUUGUGUUCUUUGGGCUUCCUGUGUGACUAUACCUGCACCGUGUAUUUGGUGCAAAAAUAGAAAAGGGAAGUCAAGAAGUAGAAAAUUAUGUAGUAUAGGCUGGAGGCCCUUGGACUAUGUCUUAGGGAGGCUGCACAGGUGCUGUACAUCCCCCACAGAAUGUAUCCCAUUCCUGUUUGCUUUCUUCAACGGGUUAUAGUGAUCAUGUGGAUGAUUUAACAUGGGUAUUGGCUCCUUUCAGUCACACACCGAGCACAUGCAACAAGUUGUGAGACUGCACCACUUCCACUGCUGUCCUGCCCCUUCAGUAGGAUGCUACUCCGGAAAAUUCGAAGGCCAUCCACUGAGCCUUAACACAACUGAUGCUAGGUGUAAUGUCUCAAAUGCAACCAUCGUGUUACUGAGACGUGCACUAGGUGAUUAAGAUGAACAUGAAAAUUCUUGACUGAAAUGGUACACAGUCCUUCUGUCUACUGGCUAGGUUAAUUGCGUGGGUGGAAAUAACAAUUUUUAAAUUUCGUUUAAAAGACUGAAAACUGAAUGAUUCUGUAUUUGACCUGAAUUAAUUAUUUGCACCUUAAAUGGUAGAUGGUUUAAGUCAGCACCUCUUGCUUCCCUCCAUCAAAAGACAGACUCUCGAUGUAUUUGCUUAAAAAAAAGAACCUACCACAGACUCCUGUGCUUUGCUUUUCUAUGCUAGCACGUUUGAUGGUAAGGUGGUGAGGUGCUUCCUGUUUAUCUACAAAAAUCUCAUCUCCCAAAUCAAACCUGGUUCUCUGGGGACCUCUUCUUAAGCCAAGCCUUGCUCUAAGGGUAAAAUGUGUCACAUUCAGAUCUCAUUAGCAUUGCAGCUGGGGGUUGUGCAGUAAUUCUCAUGCAUGCGCUCAGUCUCAUUGUAGCUGUUGGUCAACAGGGCGUCAUCCUGGGGCUGCUCUGAGCAGAGCUGCUGAUGCUUUUGGCUGGCUGGGGUGACAGAGGGAAAGCUGUGUGUGCCCAGAUGAAUGCACCUCAGAGCUGGCUGGGAAGUCACACAGAUAACCUGCCUGUAACCCAGCACCCCCUCACCUCUCAGAGGGACGUUGGACUCUUCUAUGUACUGUGGUAUGGGCAGAGUAUUUGUAUUGCAGAACAUCCGUGAGAAACAUAUGGUUUCACUUUUACUUGUUUCUGGAAGGAUGGCCUUUUCCCCUUCUGCCUGCAAGGCCAGUGUCCAGGUCACAGAAAGAAAUUAGAGAAGUUUGAUGCCUUUUGCUGAGGCUUUCUCUUCACUGAAUGGCUGUCCUUGUUUUUCAGUUUAACACCACUGAGGUAGAAGCUCUUUCAGAGAAACAGUUUCUUUGUAUUCUGAAAUCUAUAAAAAUAUUUUUACCUCUAUCAGCUGAGCAAUAGAUGCAAUUAAUUGUCUAUUUUAUACCUAACCUGCUUCAAGUUUCCCAGUCUCUCACUUAAAAUAAUUAGUCUCUAGCCAUAUAAGAACUGGCCCACUAAAACAAACACAGCAAAAUUAAUUUUUCUAGGAGAUAAUUUUCCACUUUUUUUCUUUUUUCAAAUGAGGAUUAUCCGUGAUUUAUUGGAUUGAUAAAUUAUAUAUUUAAAAAAAAAUAAGUCAACAUACCUCAUGGCCUGAACUAAUUACCAGUGCAGAAAUCCAUAGAUUUUUCUCCACACUGAUACCAUAAUUGGGUUUGGAGGAGAUGGAAAAGGGUGGAGUACAAGUGAGCCAUAAGCAUAAUAAACCAUCUAAAUUAUCCAUAUACCAGGGUUAAUGUGUAUCUGGUAACAGCUUUGGUGUUAGCUGGAACUGUACCAAAGUAAAAUAUGAAGACAGAGGAGCCUGACUUUCUUCCACUAAGUUGAGCACAAAUCAUCUGGUGUGUUAUGUGCACCCUGAGGACUGGUAUAUCCUUCCUUUUCAACUGCGGUCUGAAUUUUUAACCAAUUUGAAGACUGCCCAUUUGCUUCUGUAAACCUCUUGGUGCAAACGUUGCUAAGGGUAAUUUUUCAGAGCAUUAUUUUGCAGGAACAGAUCUGUGGUAUCCAAGCUCUAGCUGCACAGUGCUGCAAAAGAAGGGUGUGAGCAUCCUUCUCAAACUUCAAAUGGUGCUUUGGUCUUUAUAUCCUUUUUAUCUUCUUUCCCACGAACCUGAGCAUGAAAUAUAAUGAUAUUCUUCUGCCAGUGUUGGGAGGCAAGCUUAGUGUGACACAGUUGCACACAGCUACUAGUGAACAAAAGUUUUUGAUUUUGAUUGUGGUCGGUCGCUGCUUGUCAUUUAUUUCAUUUUAUUUAUUCAUCAUGGACAAAAGCAAUAUGCAUUAACUUAACUAACCAAUCAUCGCACCAAUAGCAAAAAAGAGAACACUGUAUUUUGACAUUUUGUCACACAUCGUGUGACUUCUUUGUAAAAGGAAAACAACCUUUUCCUCCUCCUGUUCCCCACGAGAAACAAACGAGUGUUAACAAGAUUUUUGUUAAUAUGAGGAUUAGACAUUCAUGGUGUUCAGAGAAUUUUUCAAGGAGACAAACUGGAAUGAAAAACAGAAUCCUUGGAAGGAUUAUCUUAGAAACUCAGAAAAAAAAAAUGUCCCACACACAUUCUUAGCGUUUACUUGGGAGGAAUUAAUCUGUCUUAGUAUUGUCAUCCUCAUGGAUUCAUUUUACAUGUUUAUAUCCUAGGAAAAACCUCUCCUUCUCUUCUCCUUUGUCUAUAUUCAAACCACAACCAAAUCAAGGUCAAGCUAGAAGCAGAGUCCUGAACAAAGGAAGAAUGAGAAAGCUGACUGUUUCUUUUUAUUCCCCCCUUUAAGAGACAAAUACACAGUGGAAAUACCCACUCAUUCACAUGACAUGGACUAUAUUUUUAAUUCCGGUAUGUAGCGGGGAGCAUCCACAGGUUCUUCUAAACAAAAAGGAAGUUUUCCUGGGAGAUAAAGGAACAGCAUCCCAGAGGGAAGCUAGAUCUGAGACAGCAUGCAAAAUGGUAGUCUGGAGAAGUCCUUGUCAUAUUUAUUUAUUUACAUUAAUGGAGGCAUAUUCUGUAAAUUCAUUUUCUACAGACAGUUCCCUUCUCUGGCAUUUUUCUGCAGAAGCAGAAUGAUUUAGUGUAGCAUAUAUGAGGACAUCUGGGCUUUCAGGUGAAGCUGGGAAGGAAGGAUCAUUAGGUGCAUUAGGUGCUGUCCUCUUAGCAUUCCAGUGAGGAACAUCGUUGUCAUAAAUUGUGUUGGCAUGCAAGAGCUGCUGUGGACUAGCCAUGGAGUGGUAAAGCAAAGAGCUUUCAUCUGAAGCUUGAGUUGUCCCAGCAGUGUGGGAUGGAACAGCUGCUGGACUUCUGACCUGCAAAAAGCAGAACAGGGUACAGCUCUGUGCAUAUCUGGUUGUUGCUUGUGCUCCUGCUAAAUAGGGAGCAUAUAAGAUCUUAUUCAUUUUGCUGUGUCCCUUUAAAACUGCUUUUGAACUCAGGUGCAUUGGACUCAUCUGAUCAUCGGAUUUUCUGUUGAUCUUUGAAAUAAGUUAGCAACCACACAUUUAUCUCUAGCCUUUCUCCAUUUCCCUUCCCAAAUUCAGUCAUGUCUUUCCUUGCAUGAUUUCAACUUAAGGAAAAACUGAUUUAUCCUUGUGAGAGCACUUCUAUGCCACUCAUUCAGGCUUUUCCUUCCAGUCCUAUUAAAUCUUUUUUACUUUCACCUCCAAACCCCAAACUAUCUUAUCCCGAUUACACCCAUUCUCCCAUUUCCUAAUCUCUUGCCUCUUAUCCUCUGUCUUGUUAUUCUCCAGAUAAAUCUUUCUCCUUCUCCAAAAAUCUGCAAAUUCCUCCAUAAAUUCCUCUCUCUCUAAAGAAAUCCUCUUUGACAUCCAUUUUUCUAACCACUUAGAAUAUACUGCUUUUAAUUUUCUUUCUCCCACCUCUCCCUUUGGGAGCUCUGCAAUCUGUUUGGUGGCCUUUGAUUCCUGCCAAUACUUCCCUUGUGACUGCUAGCUAUCAGCUCCUGUGGCAUCUUUCAUGUUCUGCCUUCUGCCCAUUUAAUUUCACUAGAACUGAUUACAAGAGUGAGUUCAUGUUAACCACACAGGAAAGUCUUUUCAAUCAUUUUCCUUACUCUGUGUGUCAUUUGUCUUAUGCAGACAGUCAAAACCAGGUCAACAGAGGCACAUCAAUAGAUGUGCCUAAAUUCUUACUGGAAUGAUCUUACAAAUUAAUACAUUUUAAUAGGAGUUUAGAUGGCUAAAGUACUUUUCUGGCUAAGACUCUUAGUUCCUUUCUUCAGCGCAACCAAGGUGAUAUCUCACACCAGGGAAGUCAUUUUGUCCAUGCACCAAGAGGGUCACUAAAUCUGUCUCUGAUCCUACUCCACAUUUUAUAGUACACGAAGAUUUGUUCUCAAUAUAUGGUUAUGCAGUUUUAGGCUUCAGAAAUGGCAAAAUUUACACAUACCAGGCUCUCUAGUCUCUGUGGCGUUAAUGGAGUUCUCUUUUGCUUCGCUAGGAAGAAAAAAAAAAAAGAAAAAAAGAAGUUUCAAUAAAUGAGCAUUGAGAUGAUGCCCUUCUGCUCAUGGAGAGAGUAUUAACUAGUAAAGCAGUCCUUCCCUUGUUGAGUGCACCUCAAAGAAUAAAAAGUUAUUUCCAAACUGGAUUUAGGAAUUGCUGUUCUGAUAAAAGCAAAUCAACACAAAACAAUAUGUUUAUAGAAUGCAUUUCUGUGCUCCUCAGAGCUUCUCUGAAGAGGAAUAGAGAAAUUCCCAGUGUACUUCUGGCUAGUUUUCUCUCUAUUCAGUGAAAAGGCAUGGAAAAAUACCCAAACCACCUUAUAAGAAAACAUGCUAAAUUUUUUGGAAGAGGAAAUAAUUUCAUUUUCCUAAAAUAAAAUAAAAUAAUCUGUUGGAUUAUAAUAGGCAAAUAAUCACUUCAGUUAAAUUAAGAUAUGGGGAACUCCAAAAUCCACUCUUGAUUUAGAGCAUGGCAGCUGUGUAAGAGUUUCCGUACAACCGGAGAGAUUAAUACUGUAACAAGUUGAUACUUCAGAAAGAAAGGUAGAAAAGUAACUGGAUAGAACCUGAUUGCAUUUAUAUGGCUAAGAGUCCUAUUUAUUUCUAACUUGAUAAUCAAAAAACAGUAGAAAAAAAUCCAAUUAUUAUAAAGUCUGAGUAUUUGGUUUGUUCUUACUUUACUUCCAUUCCUGUCUCUCUGGAAGGGAACAAUACUUGGGACAAAUUAAUGUUUAAAAAAUUCAGUAUCCUAACUGGGGCACUUGACAAGGACAUCUCAGAAAUUAACUGGGGUAAUUACUAGGGGAUUUCAAUAGAGCUUUGAAUGAAACUUUAAACUGUGAAAAGGAGUGUAAUAAAAUACACACUAGGAAAAGAUUAUAUGGUAAAAUUCCUCACCAUGGUACCUUCUGAGACAGGAAAACAUGCAUAUAAAGAUGAAUGGACAACAUAGACCCACGGAUACUGAAGAAUAAAUAAUGUGCAAUAUCUUGUUUUUUCCAGGUUCCUGGGACUCUUCUGAGAUACUAGUGGUAUCUAAAAUUACAUUAACAUGUAUUAGCAUAAAAUAAUAUUUAACUUUUUUUUUUUUAGCAUUACUUCUUUCUGAUGCAACUGACUUCUUAAUAUAAUUAAAGCAUUUGUUAGCUUGGUACAGCAAGCAGUUCACAAAAUAAAACCAUCUUCAUUCGUAUAUUACCAAGCAUGAAGGUACUGGAAGGAAAAGUGCAUGGAAAGUGUCAUUGAAGAAUGAUGCGCAGCACACGGCUGGCAGAAACAAAGGAUCAGAAUUAAAGCACUGCUCUAAACUUCCAAUAUAUUUUAACAUUAUGAUCUUUCUUCUUCUUUUUCUAUAGUCUUUGCACUGUAAACAACAGCAAGAACAAAAAUAAGAAGCUUUUUGACAGGUUUGUAUCAGCUGUGAAAAUAUGUGAUGAUCAAGCCUGGAAAUGAAUGCUGUUAUAGUAUACGCACAUGGCAUCAUUCAGCAAAUAAAUCAUUUCAAGGGUCUAACUUUAAGUUAAGUUUAGGACACUUCUAAGUUACAACCUUUUAAGUCAUGGGCCCUUGAGCUUAAUUUUGGAUUUCAUUUGAAGCAUGGCAGGAAAGAAAAAAAAAAAAAGAGUAGGAGGGGGAGAAGAGUGCUGCCAGGGGAAAUGCAUUUGAACGUAGGAACUGUCCUUGUAUCCUACAUGUGGGAGUGAAAACGGUGUGAGAAAGGUAUCGAUAGUUAUAUGCCUAAUUUAUGUUACUGAACUUUCUUACAAAUAAGAAGGAUUCUUGAUGCACGGUUUUGAGGUUUGCUGUCUUCUGAUGCAGGAAAUGCAGAAAGAGCAUCACAGAAGAGAUCGAGCAGAUGAACCCUAUAUGGGCUUGAGUAGCUGAGCUGUUCACAGUAGUUGUACUGGGAACAAUAACCAACUGUGAGUAAAAAACAUACUUAAGGGUAUGUUAAAGUGAUGGUGUACUGUGAUUCCUAAUGCUUUGUAAAUAUAAGCCACAUAUGUCACUGUGAUAUUAAAGAGCAUGUUGGAAGUGUAGACUACCACACCAGUAGGUUAUUUGAUUGGCUUUGUCCCUGUUAUCUGCUUGACAGUUGUGGGCUUGAAAACUGUGACACUUGAGAGACUGUAUUUUGUUGAGGUGGGAAGAAAGUAAUGGCUCUUCAGCAAUGAGUUUUAAUUUGUCCUGACUGUGUAGAACAAUCUACUUAGAAAUUUAUAGCAACACAAAUUAGUUUCCUCCUCUUAAAAAGGAAAUAAGAAUCAGAACUUACUUUCUGAUGAAGUUGUGAUAAUGUUCUCAGACUUUUCUGAAAGCAAAAAACAAGACAGGGAAAUGAAACAGCAACUUGAUACUUUGCUCUGCAGUUGUAUACUCUGGACCACACACUGAGGUCUCGACAAACCUCUCCUUCAGCUUGGUGGUGGAAGAGGGAACAAAAUCCAGCAAAGGGCACAAUGUUUUGGGAGAGGAGGAAUGAAGUGUUGGUCUCCCACGGCUGAUGGAGCGGUUCUAUAUUUCAGACCUCUGGCAUUCAAAUAAAUAAAUCAAGAGAAGAAAUAUUUUGCAAAUGAUUGAUUACACCACUUAUUCAUGAUAUGAUAUUUGUGAAUGUACCAUUUGAUCCCAGUUACUCAGGGAUCGCUUCUGUUCAUCUCAGAUCCAAGGAAAACCUGUAUCACGUGAGUUGAGGAAAUACUGUGUCUGCUAUCACACUGCAACCGUAAAUUUUGACGUUGCUCCCUUUGCUACAACAUUUCCUGUCAAUAAACAAGGUAUUAAAGUCCAUUAACUUACCAAGAGAGGAACUAGCAACAGAACAAUUUCAUAACUCAGCUAGCUGGGGUCAAUAGGACACUAAGGUCACACAGACCACUUUCUAGCUGCAGAGCAAUGUUGAGGAGGGCAAAUGUGGCUCGACAUAAUCUAGACUUGGCAUCCCAACUGCCUAAAUUAAUAGGAAUGUCUGGCUUGCCCUUAAAUUCUUAAGAGCAUUUAAAGCUAUUGUGAUCUUUCCCGCUCUUGAACUUCUUGGGUACAAGGCUAUACUUUAUCUCUCUGUUGCAAGAUCAUUCUGAACAAGAGGCUUGAAUUAUUUCGUACUCUGCUGUUGUGUGGCGUUGCCAACUAUGAAUACGUGACAAUUUGUAUGCUGUCUAGUCCUUAUAACAUAUAACCAGUCUUUCUUUGCUCCAACUAAUAUUUUUAAAUAAUUAAAUAGUUCACUAAUGGCCAUUUGGUGUCAGCAGCUUUGCUUUUCUCUUCCAGAUCCUCCUUUUAUUUCUUUAUUUUAUUCUUUCUCCAGUACCGAGAAGCAGGAUAGAAGCAUGAAGAAUGUGGUAAGCAGAAGCACAACUGAUCUUGUGCUAUUCCUACGACAUCAGACAAACUUGUUGGGAAAAGCCAUCGUGCAGCAUGAGUGAACUUUCUUGUACAUGGUAUCCAUUUGUUUAAAAGGGCUCUUUUGUAACAAACGGGCCUCACCUUCAACAAUAACCUUUAUUUCGUUGCUCUUGCUUAAAAAGUUGCCCAUUGCUGCUUGACAGCGAUACAUCCCGCUAUCAUUCUGGUGAAUGGCAAAAAACUUCAGAGUAAACACAGUGGAAUUCCAUUCUGCUUUGCUGUCAUCCAGCAGCACGCAUCCAUGCGCCUCUAUCUUGCACCACUGGAUGAAGGGCCUUUCCUUGCAGUAACGGACUGGACAGUAUAUGAUCAAGGAGUUACCAAUAUUAGCUAUGUAUUCAGAGUUUCUUUGAACUUGAAUUUCUACUGGACAAUCACUGGCAUCAAAUCCUAGAAAAGGAGAAAAAUGUGAGAAAAAUCAUAGUGGUGGUGGAGUUAUAUACUCUCCAUGACACUAAUCAGUUUCUUUUCUCUCUCAGUAUGUGAGACUUCUCUUGUCCACUUUCAGAUUUUAUCUCUGUAUGGGACACUCAUAGCAGAUAAAUCAAGAGUACCUGGUUCCUUCAUUUUUAGGAAGAUUGUUAAAAUCCACUUUCUCCCUCUGAUAUAAAUUUCAGUCUAUAUCUCAGUGAAGUCUGAAACUGAAGUUUGGAGAGAAAAUAUGUAACACAUAC